rnacentral:lncRNA from 1 species
GUUUUCACUAAGUGGUGUCUCUGGAAGAGGAGUGGCACUCAAGCUUAGCAGGGCUCGAAAGGUACUGAAAUUGCAUAUCCGUUGGAUGUUUUAACUGUGCUGAGCUGGUCCCCGGCUCUCUUCGUAGCCUCUCUCCUUCAUCUUAGAUGGGGCUAUCACUCAGACCACGGAUCCUGACUUCUGCUGGACACACCAUUAGGAAACAAAGGGUUCUGCAGUCGCUACUCUUCUCUGCUGUGAUGAAACACCACGGCCAAGGCAACUUACAGAAAAAAGGGUUUGCUUAGGGGAGCCCAUCAUGGCAGAGAAGCAUGGAAGGUGUGGGGCCGGGAACAGAAGCCGAGGCGCUCACAUCGUUAACAGAAAGCAUGAGAGCUAAUUAGAAAGGCCAUGGAGUCUUUAGACUCUCAAAGCCUGUCCCAGUGACAUACUUCCUCCAGCGAGGCCACGCCUCCUCAAUCUGCUCAAACAGUGCCAUGAACUGGAAGUAUCCAAAUGCCUGAGACAAUUGGGACAUCUCACUCAAGCCACCACAGAUUCCUGUUUCCAGUUACUUACAGUUUUAGAGAGUCUGGCGGCAGCGACAUCAUCAUCAACACCAUCAUCAACACCAUCACCACCAUCAUCAUACUUUUCAGUUAUAUACUGAAACAAAUUGUCCAUGUUUGCAUUUUGGCACAUCUUAUCUUCCUAGUUUUAUAAGCGCAUUAAGCCUAGUUAUUUAAGCUCCCUGUCAACUCUGAUAUCUGACUCUUAGUUGAUUAGAACCUUCUGUUAGUCAUUUAAUCAUUUGGAUUUGACUUUUAACACGGUUCACAAUUUUAUAUUGGGUUUGGACACUGAUACAGAAGCAGAGGGGCUUCGGCUGGUAUUCUCUGCCUUUAACGAGUUACAUUUCCCCUCCCCCCCACAGAUUCCCAGAGUACGGUCUUCCCUUUUGUGGUCUCAGUUGCAAGAGCGGGUGUCUCUGUAUCUUAAGGCUUGAAGUGCAGCUUCUGCUGGGAGCUAAAGCACUGCUUAGCUCGUUACACUCUGACUAGAGUCUUCUGGUGGAUUCCUUGGUGUCUUGUCUUGUGCAGGCCAAGUUUAGUCUCGAGGUACGCCCCCAGUUUAGUGAGGAUUGUAAUCUCCAUGGGUGGGCUCUUCUGAACUUUCUCCCUUCCUGGGAGCUUUCUGCAGUCCACCCACUUUGACUGCCCCGAGAUUUGAACUUUUCCUGGAGAUGGCUGAUGUCUUUUACCUGGACUUUGUUAUCUUGUACCUAGUGUUAAAAAUCCACUAAAGAUGGAAAGCCCAGCAUAACCACAGUGCUCACGAAGCACAGCUUAAGAACCAUAGGUUCAUGUCCUAUCUGUACUGGACACAUUUUGAUGCCUUCAAAUAAAGAUCCCGCAUUAAACUGGAUGCAGGUCUCAUGUACAAUUG